rnacentral:rRNA from 1 species
UACGGGGGGGGCAAGCGUUGUUCGGAAUUACUGGGCGUAAAGGGCGCGUAGGUGGCCAACUAAGUCAGACGUGAAAUCCCUCGGCUUAACCGGGGAACUGCGUCUGAUACUGGAUGGCUUGAGUUUGGGAGAGGGACGCGGAAUUCCAGGUGUAGCGGUGAAAUGCGUAGAUAUCUGGAGGAACACCAAUAGCGAAGGCAGCUCGCUGGGACGGUACUGACGCUGAGGCGCGAAAGCGUGGGGAGCGAACAGG